rnacentral:lncRNA from 1 species
AUAAAGCGGUCGCUUUAAUUCGGUUGUUUUCAUUCUGUUGUUUUUGUUCUUCAGAGCAGCAGUGUGACUUUCAGCGCGGAGACUCUCUACAGCUACAGCUUCACCUACAGACCAGUUUACUGCUUUAUUCUCACUGUUUAUUAUCUGUACUCUUUAUAAUUACUCAUUAAUAACUGUUUUAUCUCUAUUUUAUUCUUAUUAACUGUGUUUUUCGCUUUUCUCUUUUCUUUUUUUAAUAGGUUACAGCAGCCGGUGAGGGACACCGCCACCCCGCGGUCGAACAUGGUGUCUCCGAGCAGAGUCUGCCCCCUGGGGGUCAGUAGAAAAUGAUUCAACCCUUUCAGAAUUUAUUUAAUCAGAUUUACUGAUAUGGGUUAAUUACUCACUAUUAAACUAAAGCAUGUCUAAGUGGUAGUUUUAGGUGAGGGUCAAUGGUCAUUUCUGAAGCGGUUUCUCUGAGUAAACACUGUAAAACUGUAAUAUGAGCAGUUGACUAAGCUAAGCUAAGCUAAUUUAAGCUAGGCUAAGCUAAACACGACAUCAUUAUAUAUCAUAUUUACUAUAUUUAAUAACAGUAGCUAUAAGGCUGUGGAGCUGCACAGCCUCAUUUAAUGAUAAACAGAACAAUAGACAUGCUUUAAAUGUAAAUCUCUUUACUUUUUACUUUCCUCUGUCAUAUAGUUUUAAAUGUAUAUAUUGGCUACACAUACUGUAAGUGCAUAUUCAUGCUGAUUUGUUAUGGAUAAUGGUUGUAAUGAUUGUAUAUAUAUUUCUAUUGCAGGUGCGUACUGACCGCUCGGGGAACUCCACCACCCGUCCCCCGGCUUUUGGCUGCCGAAAGGCUUGGGGGAAAUGCAGCAAACGCACGGUGCCCACCUCCCAUCCAGAGCCUGCAGCAAUCCCCAGCAGCCAACCCCCCACCGUCACGACCCCACCCUUCCCUCGGUACACACACUGUAACGUUCUGGUGCCGAUCGCUGUGGCAGAGCUUACCCAGAAGCUGGACUUUGUUGGACCAGAGCCUGAGCUCAUCCCAGGUCCAGCUGCACAGGUAAGAGUUUACAGUUAAUCCAGUAUCAUCUCCAUCUCUCUACCACCUUAAAACGACCGAAGAUCUGAAGAGCUUUAGAAAACCUGCUCAUUUCUUCCUCUCUGAUUCUCCUAGGCUUUGGCCGACCCUGACUGGGAGGUGGGGGACCACGGUCGGGUGGUCAGCGAUGAUGAAGAUGAAGUGGAGAUGUCGAAGGUGAGCGCUCAGUGUUAUUUCACCCAAUUUAGCUUAAAUCUUUAUUGGAAAAUUCUCACAGUUUAGUCUAAAUUCAUAAUUAACAACACUCAAAAAUAAAACUAGAGAUGGAUCAGCA